GAUCCUGCGCCGAAGAUUUCCGGGGCUAAAACUUACUACCGAAGCUACGGCAUCAUGAUGAUGGGUAGGGGAGCUUCCCAUACGGGUUGAAGCAUGACCGUAAGGACAUGUGGACAGUAUGGGAGUGGGAAUGUUGGCAUGAGUAGCGAGAUGUGGGUGGGAAUCCCACAGGCCGUAAACCCAAGGUUUCCAGGGGAAGGUUCGUCCGCCCUGGGUUAGUCGGGACCUAAGCUGAGGCCGAAAGGCGUAGGUGAU
rnacentral:rRNA from 1 species